rnacentral:lncRNA from 1 species
UUUUUUAUUGAGGUAAUCGGUUACCCCUUAUUUAGUAAUUGAUUACAUGCCUGCUUGCAUGACUCAUUGCAGUAUUUUUGCAUAGUGUAACAAAUUACACCUCUUAGGAUAAUCGAUUACACCUGAAUGUUUUCCAGAUUUUUGCUUUUUAUUAAAUGUGUGUUAUUUGUCUAUUUUUAAUAAGUGCUUAUUUAUUAAGCUAUCACUUUCCAAUACUUUUU